AGUAAGGUCAGCUAAAUUAAGCUCUUGGGCCCAUACCCCAAAAAUGUUGGUUCAAAUCCUUCCCAUACUAA
rnacentral:tRNA from 1 species